rnacentral:rRNA from 1 species
GGGCCCGCACAAGCAGUGGAGCAUGUGGUUUAAUUCGAUGCAACGCGAAGAACCUUACCAGGGUUUGACAUCCUGCGAAUCUCUUGGAAACAGGAGAGUGCCUUCGGGAACGCAGUGACAGGUGGUGCAUGGCUGUCGUCAGCUCGUGUCGUGAGAUGUUGGGUUAAGUCCCGCAACGAGCGCAACCCACGUCUUUAGUUGCCAGCAUUUAGUUGGGCACUCUAGAGAGACUGCCGGUGAUAAACCGGAGGAAGGUGUGGAUGACGUCAAGUCAUCAUGCCCCUUACAUCCUGGGCUACACACGUACUACAAUGCUACGGACAAAGGGCUGCAAGUUCGCGAGGACAAGCAAA